rnacentral:rRNA from 1 species
AUGAUUACUUCUAGAAGGUCUAUUGUUACUGGCGAUAUAGAUAAGUACUAGUUUGUUUGCAACAAGUUUAGGAAACCCAAGAACGAUGACCACGGUACUGUGACUGCACCUAGCGUUGAAAUGCUAGAAGAUCCUUGUGAAGAUGGGGAUGAUGAUGAUGGAGAAGACAAUGUUAUUGUGUUUGCUGCUGAUGCUACUGAGAAAAGGAAGAAGGAGAAGAAAAGGAAAAGAGAAAAGAUAGUACAGACUGGGUGCAAAGCCAAGAUGAUAGUAAAAUUCAUUGAUGGCCAUUGGGAAGUCACUUAUUUCAUUGCUGAGCAUAACCAUCCAUUGAUUGACAAACCUUCCUUGACUAAAUAUUUGCGAUCACACCAAGGCAUCCCCCCAUAAGAGAAGCUGUUUAUAAAGAACCUUCAUAACUGCAACUUAACUACAGGUGAAUGA